ensembl:lncRNA
UGGGAGGAGAGAGAGAGAAGCGGAAGUUUUUUCAGCUUCAUCGUUAAGAGAAAGUGAGAGAAAGCAGCGGGAGAACAGUGCCUCACACUAAGCUGCUUCACAAACACUGAAGAAUGAUUUUCCAUCAGCGGUGAUUCCAGGUGUUCAGAUUUUACAUGAAUUAUUGAAGGUGGUAACUAUGAUGACUAAGAAGAGGCUCAGUGAAAGACUGAACCGGUUGAGUCCAGAGGACUUUGCUGAGUUCAAGUCACACAUUGCAGCAGAGAAAGAUCUCCAACUGAUGUCACAGAGCCGACUGAAAACGGCAAACACACAGGAUGUAGUGGAGCUGAUGGAGGAGACGUACAGGGGAGAGAGUGUGGAGGAGACCAGAAAGGCUUUGAAGAUGAACAGGACUGAUCUGGUGCAGAGAUUAUCAGACAAACAGUUUCCUCCACUGAGCCAGAGAGUAGAAAUGAUGGAGUCUCUUAUUGAGCUGCUUUUGGAGACACUGGCUGAUCUGAGUGACAGCGAGGUCAAAGACUUCAUCAAGAUCCUGAGAAGAAAACGUGGCUCACUGAUCCCAACGAGUCUGUCUGAGAUGUCAGACCUGCAGGACGUGGUGUUUGUGAUGGUGAGGCCUUUUGGCGAACAGUCAGUGAAGAAGAUCGUGGAGGUCUUAAAGGAGAUGAAGAGGACUGAUCUGGCUCAGAGGCUGACAGACAGCAGCUCAGAAGCUCAAAACAAACAUCUGGAUGAACAUCUGUCUGCACUGAUCCAUAAAGUUGCAACAAUGGCAGCUGUUACAGAUCUGCUUCUAGAAACACUGGAGGAUUUGAGUGAUCAGGAUCUCAAGGAGUUCAAGUUGUUCCUGCAGUUCAAUCGGUUUCAGAAGAGUCUUCCACAAAUCGAACUGAGUGAUGACAGAAGAAGAAUAGUGAAUGAUAUGGUUGAUAAACUUGGUCAUCAGUCUGUGGAGGUGAUCAGGGAGGUUUUAACAGACAUGCAGAGAACUGAUCUGGUGCAGAGGCUGUCAGAGAGCAGCUCAGGACUCAAAGCUGCAGGAUCAUCAGCUGAAGGAUUUGAUGUGGAGGAAACAGAGAA